rnacentral:lncRNA from 1 species
CGCGCGGUUCGCUGGGACUUGUAGUUGGGGGCCCAUGGCGAGGGCACGGGUCAGUUUGCGGAUCACUGCGUUGCCAGGUGUGGGAUCUCACGUGGGAGGAAUCUGCAUUUCCCUGAGAGGAAGAUAUGACAAAGUUCCAGAUUUACUUUCUUCUGAAUUUGGAAAUCCCAGAGGGCUGUUUUGUUUUUACAGUUCUGGAGAUUGAACCCAGAGCUCACAGAUGGCUAGGGUAAAUGCUCUAUCAUAAGGUACACUCCAAGCCUGCCUUUUUGUU